GGGAGACCGCCUGGGAAUACCAGAUGCUGUAAGCCUUUUC
rnacentral:rRNA from 1 species